AUUUGAAGGAUACUUAGGUGAUCUUUCAAUACAUUUGAAUAUAAAGUUCUUAGUGGGCCAUUUUUGGUAAGCAGAACUGGCGAUGUGGGAUGAACCGAACGUUAAGUUAAAGUGCCAAAUAAUACGCUCAUGAGAUACCAUAAAAGGUGUUGGUUCAUUUUGACAGCAGGACGGUGGCCAUGGAAGUCGGAACCCGCUAAGGAGUGUGUAACAACUCACCUGCCGAAUGAACUAGCCCUGAAAAUGGAUGGCGCUUAAGCGUAUAACUUAUACUUAACCCUUACUUGAAUCAUUAUAGCGAGUAAGGAGUAGGAGGGCGUAAAGUUUCUAUUAUAUUGGCUGUUAAGCAUCUAAGCGUAAGCUUAUGUGGAGCAAAACUUUAGUGUAGAUCUUGGUGGUAGUAG
rnacentral:rRNA from 1 species